GGAUUGUGGCUCAGUGGUAGAGCACUUGCCUGGCAUGUAUGAGGUCCUGGGCUUGAUCCUCAGCACCA
rnacentral:tRNA from 1 species